CGCCUACGGGAGGCAGCAGUGAGGAAUAUUGGUCAAUGGCCGAGAGGCUGAACCAGCCAAGUCGCGUGAGGGAUGACGGCCCUACGGGUUGUAAACCUCUUUUGUCGGGGAGCAAAGAGAGUCACGUGUGGCUCAUUGAGAGUACCCGAAGAAAAAGCAUCGGCUAACUCCGUGCCAGCAGCCGCGGUAAUACGUAGGGGGCAAGCGUUAUCCGGAUUUACUGGGUGUAAAGGGAGCGUAGGCGGCUGUGUAAGCCAGAAGUGAAAGCCCGAGGCUCAACCACGGGACUGCUUUUGGAACUACAU
rnacentral:rRNA from 1 species